UUAGGAAUUUUGCGCAAUGGGGGAAACCCUGACGCAGCAACGCCGCGUGGAGGAUGAAGGCCUUCGGGUUGUAAACUCCUUUUAGCAGGGAAGAAAAAAAUGACGGUAUCUGCAGAAAAAGCACCGGCUAACUCUGUG
rnacentral:rRNA from 1 species